rnacentral:lncRNA from 1 species
UUUUUUUUUUUUUUUUGCUUUUUAGGGCUGCACCUCCAGCAGAUGGAGGUUCCCAGGCUAGGGGUCUAAUCAGAGCUACAGCUACCGGCCUACACCACAGCCACAGCAACGCACGAUCCUUAACCUGCUGAGCAAGACUAGGGUUCGAACCCUCAACCUCAUGGUUCCUAGUCGGAUUUGUUUCCACUGCGCCAUGAUGAGAACUCCUACAACAUAUUUUUUAACAGAGUAAAGAUCUCCUGUUACCUGUUUUCCCACUCAAAAUUUCUCGGUCAUUUAACCAUUUCUUUAUUCUUCCAGAUAAGUGCUGGGGUCAUUUUGUCCAGUAUCCUCUCAAAGCCCCACUGGGAGGUGGAUUGAGAUUGUUUUAAAGGUUGCUACACUGAGAAGAACUAUUUUUAAAACAUUUUGGGAGUUCCAAUUGUGGCUCAGUGGAUUAAGAACCCAAGAAAGUCUCCAUGAGGAUACAGGUUGGAUCCCUGACAUCACUCAGUGGGUUAGGGAUUUGGCAUUGCCAUAAGCUGCAGUGUAGGUCACAGAUGCAGCUGGGAUUCAGUGUUGCUGUGGCUAUGGCAUAGGCUGCAGCUGAAGCUCCAAUUCAACCCCUAGCCUAGGAAAUUCUGUAUGCCACAGGUGUAGCCAUAAAAAGAAAAAUAAAUAAAAAUUAAAAAUAAAUUUUAAAAGAACAAAACAUUUCAUCUUCCAAGCAUGAAUAAAAAUUUUCAGAUUAAGUCAAAAGAACCCACACAGAAAAAUAAAUAAAAAUUAAAAAUAAAUUUUAAAAGAACAAAACAUUUCAUCUUCCAAGCAUGAAUAAAAAGUUUUCAGAUUAAGUCAAAAGAACCCACACAUUUUUUUUUUGAUGGUCUGAUGGUAUGGUUUGUCUGGUUUUGCUUUUCACAGAAUUUUUCCUCUGUACUGCUUCUGCUUUUUGGUAAUAUUAUAGGAAAGAUUUUUCCAAUGGAUUUUUCCAACUGUAUUAAUGAAUUCACUAAUUCUAAAAAGAUUUUAGUCUAUUGACUUGGGUUUUGAAGAUACGCAGUCUCGUGAAACCCCUAACUACAUCUUGUCCAGCCCAUUAAAUCUCCCUUUGUUUCUGUUUCAUGUCUUAAUAUGUUGGCAGCAGCAAUGUCACGUAAGGCUUUUUUUAAACUGGCCUUGAUAUUAAUGGGAAUAUCUAGGUUUCCCGCUAAUGUUUGUGUUCAGUUUGGCAUCGAUAUUAAUUGACAUUAUGAAAAGCUAUCCUUCUAUCUCGAGUUUCCUAUGGUUUUGUAAAAUGAGGAAUGCGUGAUUAAUUUUCUUAAAAGCCUUCUGGGUAUCUCAUAAUCUCCCUAUUUAUAAUGUCUAAAUGAUUACAGACAUCAGAAAGUAAACACAAGCGGAGAAUGAGGGAGAGUUCCAUUUUCAAAUGACCUCAAGGUAGAGCUUACACAGACAUUAACUAACCAUUGCCACACUGUCCCACCUGUACGUCAACUACUCUCCACGUGUGGUCACUUCCCUGAAGGGCACUCAGGGUGAGAGAAAUGCACUAACAGUCUGGGCCAUCCCUAUGAAUGUAGAGCCACAUUUAAAGGCACAUCUGUAAUUAAACACAGGCAUCUCAUCGCAGGCAACAAGCCCAGGUGUAAUUUGUGAGUAUUUCCAUGUGCCAGGAACCAUGUGAAAGGAAAAUUGAAAUGAUCAGAUCAGGGAAUGAUGAAAUAAAGGCAUAACCAUAUUCUGGAAUACAGGUCGGGUGACACCUUCUUACCAAUGUGAUUGGCAUUGAUAGACAGUUGAUGAAUGGGGAAAUCAUAAAAAGCGAUGUACCCCUACAGUCAAUAUUUUAAUUUAAGGAGUUCCCACUCUGACUCAGUGGGUUAAGAACCCGAUGAGCAUCCAUGAAGAUGCAGGUUCAAUCCCUGGCCUCGAUCAGUGGGUUAAGGAUCCGGUGUUGCUGUGAGCUAUGGCAUAGGUUGCAGACGCAGCUUGGAUCCCAUGUUGCUGUGACUGUGGCAUAGACUGGCAGCCGCAGCUCCAAUUCGACUCCUAGUCUGGGAACAUCCAUAUGCCACAGAUGUGGCCCUAAAAACCAAAAAAGAAAAAAAAUUAAUUUAAACUAAAGACACAGAAAUGAACCACCAUUAAUCAAUCUACUGAUGGAGAGCCCAGGCCCUUUCUUUUCAGUGAAAAUCAACCAAUUUUUCUUACAUUAAUUUAUUCAUAAAUCACAUAUAUUAUAAGGUAUCUUCUAUUUCCUAGGUUGGUUUUCAUAAAGUGACAUGUUUCCAUAUACCUAUGAAACUGAAUACAAAAGCCCGAUCAAUUUUCAAUGUGACUUAUAUCUAAUGCAACAGUGAAGUUUUAACAAAAUUUUCACCUUUUGUAUUUUCAGAGCAUUCAACUUGAGUUUUCCUUUCUUUGCAUAUCAUAUUCCUUUGCACUUAUGGGUUAUAUAAUUGUCACAUAUGUGUGCUCACAAACGUGGCUCCCAUAAGCAGACCUGGGAAGACUCAUGGUUCACAAGACACAGCCCCACUGUGGAAACAGAAACUUGGAGAUCUAGGGAAGAAGAAUCCAGCGGCCUCUCACCCUGCGGGGUCCUUGGCAACCGUCAGUUUAUUUACACAGGAAAUGGAGCUUCUAGUUUAUUUUGCAGCCAUUAAAAAGAAUAAGAAAGAAUUACACAACCAAUCCUUGAAGUAAACAAUGUUUGACAAUAUUAAGAAAGAGUUUCCCCCUAAGAAAGUAAAUAUGAACACUUUACACACACACACACACACACACACACACAGAGCUUUUGUAUAUAGAGAGAAAAAUUGGGAAGAUAGACACCAAAUUGAUAACAGUAACACAAUUUGGUCUUUGAGAAAUGGGAAGGCAGGAAUUAACAUGCCACACUCUUUUCAAUUUGAUUUUUUUCAGUUGAUAAUAUUACUUUUGCAACAUAAGUUUGUUUUUUACAAAAAAGGAUGUGAGUAGGGGAUUCCAUUUUGCAGAUGGACGAAUCAAAUGCCUUCCUAGAAGGAAUCAAUAGUGUUUAGCUGGGAUAAAUCAAGGGUUUCAUGUAUUAUUUCUUAGCGGCUGCUAUGGCUAUGGCAUGUGGAAGUUCCCGGGCCAGGGAUAGAACCCACACCACAACAGCAACCCCAGCUGCUGCAGUGGCAAUGCCCGAUCCUUAACCCACUGCACUACAAGGGAACUCCCAAGAUCACUCCCUUUAAGAAAAGUUGAAAAACUUAUGGUCUCCGGAGGAGACAGUUUGGGGGGUGGGGGGAUGUGCUUGGGCUGUGGGAUGGAAAUCCUGUAAAAUCAGAUUGUUAUGAUCAUUAUACAACUACAGAUGUGAUAAAUUCAUUUGAGUAAUAAAAAAAAAAGGAAAAAAAAAAAGAAGAAGUAGGCAAAGCUACUUCAGGCCAGGCCUGAACCAGCAGGGAGAAUGGCCCCACCUCCCACCCCUGUAAAAAGAUGCUCUGUGUGAGGCCAAGUGUAAACUGAUCAUGACCCUGACUCAAGAAAGGGAAUCUAGACAGAGACUCCCCAGAGCAAAGACGCCACCCAUGGGGCUGGACCCAGGUCUUCUGUCCUGUUGUCAAUUUCAAGCUGACCUUUGGGUGAUCUUGACCAGUGUCACCAAGGCUGACCUUGUAGAACGGAGGUGAAGAGUGGAGAGAGCCCAAAUGAGACGCUCAUGUGCCCAGGUCACAGUGGGCUGCCUGUCCAUAUCAUUCUGGGGGGGGGGGCAGGUCUUUCUUUGGAUUGACGUUGGUAAAGUUUGCACUUUAAAAUUUAAACACUGAAUCAGCUACAGAAGAAAGCACUGAUUAUUUAAAAAAAAAAAAAA